GUUUACUGGAGGCUUAGCCAAAGCUUUUCCCUUCUCAGUUUUCAGUGCCCCAGAUUCCCAAGACAGAUGAGCAGGAGGAAUGAAUCCAAACUUCUAGAAACAGCUCAUCUUCCCUUGUGCUUGCAGCACUGGGUGCUUGGUGUGGGCUGGUGGGGUGUGUGUGUGUGUGUGUGGUGUGUGUGUGUGUGUGCGCAGGAAUAUGCAGACCUCAGGGUUUCUAAGUGCCCGGCCAUGGUCUGGUCUUGAUUAGGCAGGCGGAGGGAAGUGGGUCCACAGCAGCGAUCAGAGCUGCUGCAUCCAGCUGUGAGGCUGCAGAGCCAGAAACGCGUGCGACCUGAAAGGGAACACAUUUCUAGAGGGCCUCGGGCCAAGGUGGAGGUGAUGAGGGCAGGAUGUGGAGGCCAGCGGAGGACAAGUGCUGACUGGCAUGGGGAUGCUACGGGUGGGGGGACGGUCAGGAAUUAGCAGCUGAUUUCAAGCGUUGGGAGGAGGUGCGGAGACAAGGAGGCAGCGGCUGGGGUGAUUCCAGAGUAAUUAGGGUGGAAAAUUCUGGAGCAUCCUCGUUGCUUCCCUCAGGACAGAGGCUGCGCGUUUCUCAGCUCUGUCCUGGCAGCGGCUGGCGGAGCAUGUGUGGGCUUCAUUGAAUACGCUGCCCGAGUGUCUUGCAGCUUUUCCCAGGCGUCUUCUGUGUCUCCCUGUCCCCACGGCUGCAACUUCGACAACUGAGUUCUCUUGCUCUGGCUGCAUUUCAGGACAAGAGCAUGCCUGCCUGAGGUGCCUAGAAUCCUGGCUGGACCCCAAACACUGCAGACUACUUGGUUUCUGUCCAAGGACAGCCCCAAUGGCCUGGACAGGGCUUAGCGCAAUUCCUAAUGUACAUCAGACCCUAAAGGAAGUGUGUGCUGUGAGGACAGCCUGAUGAAAUCCUGGCACAGGAAGGAGAGGCAGUACAGGACUGUGGUUUCUGAGCCAAACUGGUGACACAAGACUCGAGCCCUGGUC
rnacentral:lncRNA from 1 species